rnacentral:rRNA from 1 species
GACGUAGGGCGCAAGCGUUGUCCGGAUUUACUGGGCGUAAAGAGCGCGCAGGCGGUCGUUCAAGUCGCGUGUGAAAGCCCCCGGCUCAACUGGGGAGGGUCACGCGAUACUGAUCGACUCGAAGGCAGGAGAGGGAAGUGGAAUUCCCGGUGUAGUGGUGAAAUGCGUAGAUAUCGGGAGGAACACCAGUGGCGAAGGCGACUUCCUGGCCUGUUCUUGACGCUGAGGCGCGAAAGCUAGGGGAGCAAACGGGG